GGAAAAGAAAGCAGGAAACACUGGAAAGAUAAAUGAGGUCUUUCCUAUGAAGGCAAUGGAUUCUAUAUCUUGUAAUCAGAUCCAAAUUAAUGUCUGAAAGGAAAGAGUGAGCCAUGGAGACAGAACUCCAGGAGUAUUUCAGGAUGCCUGCGGCACCAUCCGUACUGUGGUAACAAUAUGCAACACUGUUUAUGUCAUUCCUCUUCUCAGAACUCUUCAAAAG
rnacentral:lncRNA from 1 species